rnacentral:lncRNA from 1 species
UGCGGUGUACUAAAACGUUAAUAUCAGUUAUCCUUUCGCAGCGCGCAUGAAAGGAGCUCUCGCUGGUGUUGACAUAAAAUGUUGUGCGUUGGAAUUUUGGUACAAAUUAUUUAGGAUAAUUGUUGUGUGUUUACCUAAAAUUAAAAUAUACAUAAAUGUGUUGGUUGCGUGAAAAAAUAGUUUGGAAAACAUAUUUUAUGCCUAGACGCCAUAAAUUAUGCUUGCCAAAUUGCAGUGAAUAGUCUGAAAAAGUGAUUGAUUUGUGCGAAUUGACAUUACCAGCGCUGAUAACAACAACAAGUAAUAAUAAUAAAAUGUUAUUUACAAGACGUCAUAAGUAAGUGAAUUAAAGCAAAGCUUAAUAACUGAAAAGUUCAUUGCUGUAUAUACAUACACACAUAUAUACGAGUACAAGCAAGUGUAUGCAUAUAAAAGUGGCCAAGUAUAUUGUUUACAUUUGGCGCAUAACCAAAGCAAAUUUUGUUUGAGCGUAUAACAAAAAAUACAAGACGAAAUUAAAAAANAAUAAUAACAAAACAGUCAUCGUCUCAAUCUCAGCAGUUGCAGCAUAUACAAUGUCUACUUACUUACGUAGUUAAAAAUAAAUCUGAAUUUUACACUAUUCCNAAUAAUUUUGAAAUGACAGUUG